rnacentral:rRNA from 1 species
ACGAACGCUGGCGGCGUGCCUAAUACAUGCAAGUAGAACGCUGAAGAGAGGAGCUUGCUCUUCUUGGAUGAGUUGCGAACGGGUGAGUAACGCGUAGGUAACCUGCCUUGUAGCGGGGGAUAACUAUUGGAAACGAUAGCUAAUACCGCAUAACAAUGGAUGACACAUGUCAUUUAUUUGAAAGGGGCAAUUGCUCCACUACAAGAUGGACCUGCGUUGUAUUAGCUAGUAGGUGAGGUAACGGCUCACCUAGGCGACGAUACAUAGCCGACCUGAGAGGGUGAUCGGCCACACUGGGACUGAGACACGGCCCAGACUCCUACGGGAGGCAGCAGUAGGGAAUCUUCGGCAAUGGGGGCAACCCUGACCGAGCAACGCCGCGUGAGUGAAGAAGGUUUUCGGAUCGUAAAGCUCUGUUGUAAGUCAAGAACGAGUGUGAGAGUGGAAAGUUCACACUGUGACGGUAGCUUACCAGAAAGGGACGGCUAACUACGUGCCAGCAGCCGCGGUAAUACGUAGGUCCCGAGCGUUGUCCGGAUUUAUUGGGCGUAAAGCGAGCGCAGGCGGUUUGAUAAGUCUGAAGUUAAAGGCUGUGGCUCAACCAUAGUUCGCUUUGGAAACUGUCAAACUUGAGUGCAGAAGGGGAGAGUGGAAUUCCAUGUGUAGCGGUGAAAUGCGUAGAUAUAUGGAGGAACACCGGUGGCGAAAGCGGCUCUCUGGUCUGUAACUGACGCUGAGGCUCGAAAGCGUGGGGAGCGAACAGGAUUAGAUACCCUGGUAGUCCACGCCGUAAACGAUGAGUGCUAGGUGUUGGAUCCUUUCCGGGAUUCAGUGCCGCAGCUAACGCAUUAAGCACUCCGCCUGGGGAGUACGACCGCAAGGUUGAAACUCAAAGGAAUUGACGGGGGCCCGCACAAGCGGUGGAGCAUGUGGUUUAAUUCGAAGCAACGCGAAGAACCUUACCAGGUCUUGACAUCCCGAUGCUAUUUCUAGAGAUAGAAAGUUACUUCGGUACAUCGGUGACAGGUGGUGCAUGGUUGUCGUCAGCUCGUGCCGUGAGGUGUCGGCUUAAGUGCCAUAACGAGCGCAACCCUUGUUGUCAGUUACUAACAGGUUCUGCUGAGGACUCUGACAAGACUGCCAUCGUAAGAUGUGAGGAAGGUGGGGAUGACGUCAAAUCAUCAUGCCCCUUAUGACCUGGGCUACACACGUGCUACAAUGGUUGGUACAACGAGUUGCGAGUCGGUGACGGCAAGCUAAUCUCUUAAAGCCAAUCUCAGUUCGGAUUGUAGGCUGCAACUCGCCUACAUGAAGUCGGAAUCGCUAGUAAUCGCGGAUCAGCACGCCGCGGUGAAUACGUUCCCGGGCCUUGUACACACCGCCCGUCACACCACGAGAGUUUGUAACACCCGAAGUCGGUGAGGUAACCUUUUGGAGCCAGCCGCCUAAGGUGGGAUAGAUGAUUGGGGUG